CGACGUGAGUAACCUGCCUUGGAGUGGGGAAUAACACAUCGAAAGAUGUGCUAAUACCGCAUAAUGCAGUUGGGCCGCAUGGCUCUGACUGCCAAAGAUUUAUCGCUCUGAGAUGGACUCGCGUCUGAUUAGCUGGUUGGCGGGGUAACGGCCCACCAAGGCGACGAUCGGUAGCCGGACUGAGAGGUUGACCGGCCACAUUGGGACUGAGACACGGCCCAGACUCCUACGGAAGGCAGCAG
rnacentral:rRNA from 1 species